GAGCACACAUGGUGUUUUCUUGCAUGAAGUAACAUGCUUGAAGCUAUGUGUGCUCACCCUCUGUCUGUCACCCCACCACUCCUCUCUUUCUCUCUCUCUCUCUUUCACACACACACAAUAUAAUUGCAAUUUGUUUUGUGCAGUUUUGUUUUUAGCAUUAUCCCUAUAAGUAUUUCUGUGAACUACCCUUGCCUUUUGGGUUUGUUUGUUUCCAAAAAAUGAACUUUUAUUCACAACUAUAGACAAUUGAAUCUGUAUCACUAAAUUGAGGCAGAUUAAAACAAUUUUUUGCAAUUUGAAACAAUGCAUUGUUUGUAGUUGUAAAUUCAAUUUUUAAUUCUCUUAAUUAUGCUCAAUUUCUUGAUAAUUGUUACAUAUAGAUGUGUGUGUUUGUAGUGAUGAGUGCUCCACUUAACCAUAUACUACUACUUGUAUGUUAGUCACCAUCUCACAACAAUUUCCAAUAGUGUUUGUGCAAUUUUCUUGCAGCAGACUUGUAAGGUUGACUUAGUUUUUUCUAUAACAAGUGGACUAGUGGGUAGUUAUCAUUGUGUUUCUGAAAUGUGGAAUCCCUUUUGUUUUGUUUUAUUUUAUUUUGAUGAAUUAUGCAGUUCUCUAUUCAAUGUGUAUUCAUGCAAUUCAUUUAAGUAUAUGUUGCUGCAUUAUUGUUUGCCUUUCUAGUCCACUAUCUCCCUUUGCUCUACUGUCAGUGUAGUCGAUGUUGAUGUAUUUGUUAUAGUCAUUUGGUUUAUUGCUUUGUCCCCCUUUCAUUUUCUUUCUAAUUUUGUGGUGUCUGUUGAAUGCAGGUGUAGGUGUCACAGAUUACACAGAUAGAUAAAUGUAGUCUGUUACUUUAAUCUGCCUCUCUCUUUAUAUAUACUCCCUUCGUCUCACUCAAGAUGGCCAUAUUCUUGAGUGGCACUGGAUUUAAAGAAGUGUUGUUAGGUGGAAUAAAGUAGAGAGGAAAAAGGUAAUUGAAUAUUUUUUAAAAUUGGAAAGUGGACAUCUUGAAUGAGAUUAUUUCUAAAAUUGGAAAGUGGACAUCUUGAAUGGGACAAAUGGAGUAUGAAUUUGGCUUUGUUGACCACUAAGACUGUAUGUGUAGAAGAUGUUGGUAUGUAGUAUAUGUAAUAGAUACUAUAUGAUGUGUUGUUUAGCUUUGCCCUCCUCCCUCUCUCUCUUCCUAAUUUGUGUUGUGAAUGCUGGUGUAGUGCAUACAUAUUCAAGUAUGGUAGCUUGAAAAUUGCAAAUUGAUUGUUGGAGUAUUAUAUACUCGUAUACAAAUGAGCUCAUUUAGGUCUACUCACAUGUGCUUGUGUGUUUCCUAUCUUCAUACACUCUAGCUACCCGUUAAACAAAAACAAGCCCUUAGUAUUGUGUUGCAUUAACUAGUUAACUAUUUUCAUAUAUCCUUCCUACACUCACAUGUUAUAUGGUUACAGAAUAUCUAUCACACAAUAUGAAGGGAUGUAUAGGCAGCACCUUUUGGUGUGUGUGUGUUUUAAUAAAGAAGGAUUUUAAUAAAUAAUAGUGCCAUGUUCCUCAGUAGUUUUCUUUACUAUGACUAAUUGCGUCUGUAGAAAUAGCUGCCAACUAGUUUCUAGUUUUAGCAGGUGUAUCCCUCCAAAGUCUGCCAACCAUCAGAGUUUUGUUCUAGUGUUUGUGUUUCUUCAAGUUUUUUAUAUGGAGUUAAUUGAGUGUGUGUGUGUGUGUGUGUGUUUGAGUUGAGAAACUGGAGGAAAGCAGGUAAAGGCUAACAAUGAAGAUAAGAUUCUUGUGCAUUAGAGCUCAAGAUAAGUAGGUAGCUAGUUGAAUCAUAGAGAUUGAGGAGAACCAACAUUAGUCUCUCAUUUGGCAUCUAUUGGCUUCUCCUUUGUGUUUAGAUAGGAGCAGCAAGCAUAACGAACAUCAUAGCUGCUACCCAACCAGCACGGGUGAACAGUUAUCUCUUUCUUCUGCAUUGCUUGGCACUCUCUAUGCAAACUUGCACCUUUUCACUCUCUUUUGCUACUCUGCACUUGUUAUUAUUUUCGUAUAAAUUAUAAGCACAUAAUCUUUCCAUUCCUAACCCCACAAUAAAGGUGUUUCUGAAAUAGCUGGGAUUAUACACAUUUGCACAGCGUAUAAAACUGUCAUACUAUCACGCCCGCAUUUUCUAAGGAUAGAAAACACGGUUUAUCGCGACUAGGGGAUGAUUAAAGAAGAAAGGAAGAAAGAGAAAAACAACACAACCCGACCAUAGCUCGAAACAAAUGGGAAUAACUCGAAUAAAAUCAGAGUAUCUCAACAAUCAACAACUCAAAAAUGAACCGUGUUUCGAGCUAUGGAGAUCGUGCGCCCAACUCCUCAAUCAUUUUCUUGUUCCAACCGCAAACAAUGUGCCCAAGUUCACCCUUUUGAAAUAUCAAGAUAUGCAAAAUUAGACUUUGCAAAAUAAUUUAAUUUUAAAACGAUGCAUGCAUGUGGUCAAAUUAUAUUUGGUUCCUUGGUAGAGAAAACAUAAAUCUAGAAUUGUUGUGUCCGAAACUUACUAACCGGCGCUCAAAAUAAUUAGUCAGCCCAACAUCUAAACCCAACGCACAUCCACAUAACUAAAGACCCACAACAAAUAAAGAGUUGGCCCAACUGAAAACAAAAGAAAACAUGUACGUAUACUUCUAUUUUAAAACACGUACACCCCUUCUACUUUUAGUCAAACAUUAAAAAUUAAACAAAUAAACUGUUACUCCCAUUUCAUACCUUUCCUAUACGUACACAGCCAUUCCACUAAAUAAAACAAACACAAUUUAAUAAAGGGGAUGGAAAGUAUAGACUCUCUUCUCCAAACUUCGGCUAUUUCCCCUCUCUCUAUUGUAAUUCGCGCUCUCUCUCUCUGGCUCAACUUUCCAAUCCCUCUCUUCUUACUCAUACUCUGCUGUCUCCGUUCACCAGCUGCCGCCGCCAAGCACAAACAGGCAGAAGUAUUUCCAAGAAUUGGAUUGAAGA